CAAUUUGUGUUUUCAAUAUAACUUAGUAUUCAUAUACUAUAGUUGUGUGUAAAACACUAUCAAGCAAGUUGACUCAGUAUUCAUAUACUGUAGUAAGCUUCAGAGAGUAAUACUUACAUCAUUAUAUCAAUCAAAAUCAUAAUAUCCUUAUAUCAUUACUUGUUCAACCAUUUGUUUAUUUAGCAUUUACAGGUAAUUCCGCAAUCAACCUGUAUAAAUCGAAAAGAGGCUAUUACCCCCCCUUAUAGCCUCGGAUCACGAUCCAACAUAGAGUAGUAAACUUUCUUAUAACUGCAUCUACAAAAUUUGGUCAAGUAGACAGCAUAUUGCUUGCUUCUAGUCAAGCAAACCACUUCGUAGCAAUGCCAUCCAGAUUGAAUGAUGCAAUUAAUAAUUUUUGAUCCUCUGGAACUUUAUUAAAUAUAAAGUAUCUUCUUACUGAAUACAGC
rnacentral:lncRNA from 1 species